AUUGAACGCUGGCGGCAGGCCUAACACAUGCAAGUCGAGCGGUAGAGAGAAGCUUGCUUCUCUUGAGAGCGGCGGACGGGUGAGUAAUGCCUAGGAAUCUGCCUGGUAGUGGGGGAUAACGUUCGGAAACGGACGCUGAUACCGCAUACGUCCUACGGGAGAAAGCAGGGGACCUUCGGGCCUUGCGCUAUCAGAUGAGCCUAGGUCGGAUUAGCUAGUUGGUGGGGUAAUGGCUCACCAAGGCGACGAUCCGUAACUGGUCUGAGAGGAUGAUCAGUCACACUGGAACUGAGACACGGUCCAGACUCCUACGGGAGGCAGCAGUGGGGAAUAUUGGACAAUGGGCGAAAGCCUGAUCCAGCCAUGCCGCGUGUGUGAAGAAGGUCUUCGGAUUCUAAAGCACUUUAAGUUGGGAGGAAGGGCAGUAAAUUAAUACUUUGCUGUUUUGACGUUACCGACAGAAUAAGCACCGGCUAACUCUGUGCCAGCCGCCGCGGUAA
rnacentral:rRNA from 1 species